GACGAACGCUGGCGGCGUGCUUAACACAUGCCAGUCGAACGCUGAACCCGCUUCGGUGGGGGAUGAGUGGCGAACGGGUGAGUAACGCGUGGGCAACCUGCCCCCGGCUCUGGGAUAACUCCAAGAAAUUGGGGCUAAUACCGGAUGUGACCGCUGGCCGCAUGGUCUGGUGGUGGAAAGGGUUUCCGGCUGGGGAUGGGCCCGCGGCCUAUCAGCUUGUUGGUGGGGUAGUGGCCUACCAAGGCGACGACGGGUAGCCGGCCUGAGAGGGUGACCGACCACACUGGGACUGAGACACGGCCCAGACUCCUACGGGAGGCAGCAGUGGGGAAUAUUGCGCAAUGGGCGGAAGCCUGACGCAGCGACGCCGCGUGGGGGAUGACGGCCUUCGGGUUGUAAACCUCUUUCAGCAGGGACGAAGCGCAAGUGACGGUACCUGCAGAAGAAGCACCGGCCAACUACGUG
rnacentral:rRNA from 1 species